rnacentral:rRNA from 1 species
UUAAAAAGCUCGUAGUUGAAUUUCGGGAUUAGUACGUUGGUCGUGCCUUAGGUACGUACUGGUGUUACUGAUUCCUACCUUCUGACGAACCAUCAUGUCAUUAAUUUGGUGUGGCGGGGAAUCAGGACUGUUACUUUGAAAAAAUUAGAGUGUUUAAAGCAGGCUCGCGCUUGAAUACAUUAGCAUGGAAUAAUGAAAUAGGACGUUGACCCUAUUUUGUUGGUUUCUAGGAUUGACGUAAUGAUUAAUAGGGAUAGUUGGGGG